AGAGCGAACGCUGGCGGCAGGCUUAACACAUGCAAGUCGAGCGCCCCGCAAGGGGAGCGGCAGACGGGAGAGUAACACGUGGGAACGUACCUUUCGGUUCGGAACAACCCAGGGAAACUUGGGCUAAUACCGGAUACGUCCGUAAGGAGAAAGAUUUAUCGCCGAAAGAUCGGCCCGCGUCUGAUUAGCUAGUUGGUGAGGUAACGGCUCACCAAGGCGACGAUCAGUAGCUGGUCUGAGAGGAUGAUCAGCCUCACUGGGACUGAGACACGGCCCAGACUCCUACGGGAGGCAGCAGUGGGGAAUAUUGGACAAUGGCGCAAGCCUGAUCCAGCCAUGCCGCGUGGGUGAUGAAGGCCCUAGGGUUGUAAAGCCCGUUUCGGCGGGGAAGAUAAUGACGGUACCCGCAGAAGAAGCCCGGCUAACUUCGCGCCAGCAGCCGC
rnacentral:rRNA from 1 species